UACGUAGGGUGCAAGCGUUGUCCGGAAUUAUUGGGCGUAAAGAGCUCGUAGGCGGUCUGUCGCGUCUGCUGUGAAAACUCGGGGCUUAACCCCGGGCCUGCAGUGGGUACGGGCAGACUAGAGUGCGGUAGGGGAGACUGGAAUUCCUGGUGUAGCGGUGGAAUGCGCAGAUAUCAGGAAGAACACCGGUGGCGAAGGCGGCUCUCUGGGCCUUACCUGACGCUGAGGAGCGAAAGCGUGGGUAGCGAACAGG
rnacentral:rRNA from 1 species